CAGACAGGUGUGCUUGGGCAAGCUAUUUAACCAGGCUAAGGAGUCUUCUGCUUGUCUCCUGGGUGCAGUGUGCUAAGGCUGCUGAUAUCUGAAAUGGUGUGCCACACGGCUGGGUUGUAGUCUGGGGAGCCGGCAGUGCAGAGCCACUGCUACUUAUAGAGUUACCAGGGGCCCCAAGCAGUGAGGAGGCCACAACCGGCCAACCUGUGACCAACAGCAGACCGUUCCUGUCAUGUUUUGCUUCGCCCCAUGCAGGAAAACGAAGCUGAGCACACCCAGCCACGGAGAGCCGCGUUCCUGUUUAACUGACCCUGAGUUUCCCCCAUUUUGAACUGACCUUUUAACUUUCUUAGCUUCAGCCUUGUUUUAACCCUUUUUUAUGCCUAUUCUGUACAAAUAAACUUGGAGGUUAUAUUUUGCACA